rnacentral:tRNA from 1 species
GCCUGGGUGGCUCAGUGGGUUGAGCUUCUGACUUCCGCUCAGGUCAUGAUCUCACGGUUCGUGAGUUCAAGCCCCGCAUUGGGCU